rnacentral:misc_RNA from 1 species
UCCGGUUUGUCACCGGCAGUCUCCCUAGAGUGCCCAACUUAAUGCUGGCAACUAGGGACAAGGGUUGCGCUCGUUGCGCCACUUAAGGCAACACCUCACGGCACGAGCUGACGACAGCCAUGCACCACCUGUCACGGGCCCUUACGGACACUGUAUUUCUACAGCUUUUCCCGUGAUGUCAAACCCAGGUAAGGUUCUUCGGGUUGCAUCGAAUUAAGCCGCAUGCUCCGCCGCUUGUGCGGGGACCCGUCAAUUCCUUUGAGUUUUAGCCUUGCGGCCAUACUCCCCAGGCGGGAUACUUAAUGCGUUAGCUUCGGCACGGCAGUCAUUGGUAUAACCGCCACACCUAGUAUCCAACGUUUACGGCGUGGACUAC